CUACGGGACGCAGCAGUCGAGGAAAUUUUACAAUGCUCGCAAGAGUGAUAAAAUAAGCCAGAGUGUUUCUCCUAGAGAAACUUUUAUCUACUGUAAAAAGGCAGAUGAAUAAGGACUGGGCAAGACCGGUGCCAGCCGCCGCGGUAAUACCGGCGGUCCAAGUCGCAUCCACAUUUAUUGAGUCUAAAACAUUCGUAGCUUGUUUUAUAAGUCUCUUGUGAAAUCCUAUAUCUCAAGUAUAGGGCGUGCAAGAGAUACUAUAUUACUAGAGACUGGAAGACGCAAAGAGUAUGAUUGAGGUAGCGGUAAAAUGUGUUAAUCUCAAUUAGACUAACAAUGGCGAAGGCACUUUGCGAGUACAGAUCUAACAGUGAGGGAUGAAGGCUAGGGGCGCAAAAGGGAUUAGAUACCCUAGUAGUC
rnacentral:rRNA from 1 species